GGCGCGGUAGCAAAGUGGUAAUGCAGUGGACUGCAACUCCUCCAUCGUCGGUUCGAUUCCGACCCGCGCCU
rnacentral:tRNA from 1 species